AUGAGACCAUUUAUAAUGGGAAAUUCCUUGCUGAGCUUUGUUGUGAUUCUUUGAGAGAUUUCAAUCCAAUGGUUCACGUUUCAGUAGUCAAAGGUGAUUUGUCACAGUUUGAUGGAGAAUUCUUUGAUAAAUUUGAUGCUGUAGUUGUUAGCUGCUGCUCUCUUAAAAUUAAGAAAGCGAUCAAUGAGAAAUGCCGUUUGAGAGCAAAGCGAGUUGCA
rnacentral:misc_RNA from 1 species